ACUUUCAACAAUGGAUCUCUUGGCUCUCGCAUCGAUGAAGAACGCAGCGAAAUGCGAUAAGUAAUAUGAAUUGCAGAAUUCCGUGAAUCAUCAAAUCUUUGAACGCAAAUUGCACUUCUUGGUACUCCGAGGAGUACACAUGCUUGAGGGUCAGU
rnacentral:rRNA from 1 species